rnacentral:lncRNA from 1 species
AAUCAUCAUUUUGAUCAUUCGUAUAUCUGCAUAUAAAAUAACUAUUUAUAACUGACUUCUUCUUCCUCCCUUCGAUUCCUACGCUUCUGGGGUGUUUGUUUUCGGUAUUCAAACACCCAGAGAGUCUUCUUCCUCUGCACCCAGGUAACAUAAACAAUUCCAUUUUGCCUCCAGAAUCUCUUACUUUUAUUAUCAUUUUCCCUUCAUCUUUCCUCCUUUUCUCUUGCCUUUCCGGAAUGGCUAUCAAUGGGAUUGUGCUUUGCGAUUUUUUUUUUUCCUGGGCAGCAAUAUUUCUGAUCUUGCUUCUUUUUUGUUCCUCUACAAGUGCAGUUGCUCAUUCCGUCAACCAUUUAAUAUUUCCUGGUGGCGGAUCAGAAACUUGGUGGGUGCAAUUGCUUAUUCCGUCGUACUUUCUAAAUCAAGACUGCACAACUCAUUUAAGAUCAUUUGGGCUGUAAAUAGCUCAGCGUGGUUGCGCCGGCCCUUAUCGGAAAGCCUUCAACUA